CCUACGGGUGGCAGCAGUAGGGAAUCUUCCACAAUGGGCGAAAGCCUGAUGGAGCAACGCCGCGUGGGUGAAGAAGGUCUUCGGAUCGUAAAACCCGGUUGUUAGAGAAGAAAGUGCGUGAGAGUAACUGUUCACGUUUCGACGGUAUCUAACCAGAAAGCAACGGCUAACUACGAGCCCGCAGCCGCGGUAAUACGUAGGUGGCAAGCGUUAUCCGUAUUUAAUGGGCGUAAAGGGAACGCAGGCGGUCUUUUAAGUCUGAUGUGAAAGCCUUCGGCUUAACCGGAGUAGUGCAUUGGAAACUGGGAGACUUGAGUGCAGAAGAGGAGAGUGGAACUCCAUGUGUAGCGGUGAAAUGCGUAGAUAUAUGGAAGAACACCAGUGGCGAAAGCGGCUCUCUGGUCUGUAACUGACGCUGAGGUUCGAAAGCGUGGGUAGCAAACAGGAUUAGAUACCCUGGUAGUC
rnacentral:rRNA from 1 species